GUCCACGCUGUAAACGAUGAGUGCUAGUUGUUGGGAAGUUUACUUCUCAGUGACGCAGCUAACGCGUUAAGCACUCCGCCUGGGGAGUACGGCCGCAAGGUUAAAACUCAAAGGAAUUGACGGGGGCCCCGCACAAGCGGUGGAGCAUGUGGUUUAAUUCGACGCAACGCGAAGAACCUUACCAACCCUUGACAUGUGUAUCGCGGAGACCAGAGACGGUUUCCUUCAGUUCGGCUGGAUACAACACAGGUGCUGCAUGGCUGUCGU
rnacentral:rRNA from 1 species